ACUGCGAUGGCUGAGUGGGUUAAGGCGUUGGACUAGAAAUCCAAUGGGAUCUUCCCGCGCAGGUUCGAACCCUGCUCGCAGCG